GAAGGGCAUCGAGAUUCCCUAGCCUCCGGCGCUCAAGGAUGGAUCUGCGGCCUAUCAGGUAGUAGUGGGUGUAGCGUACCUACUAACCUACGACGGGUGCGGCUUGUGAGAGCAAGAGCCCGGAGAUGGAUUCUGAGACACGAAUCCAGGCCCUACGGGGUGCAGCAGGCGCGAAAACUUUACAAUGCUGGAAACAGCGAUAAGGGGACCUCGAGUGCCAGGUUACAAAUCUGGCUGUCGUGAUGCCUAAAAAGCAUUGCAUAGCAAGGGCCGGGCAAGACCGGUGCCAGCCGCCGCGGUAACACCGGCGGCUCGAGUGGUAACCGUUAUUAUUGGGUCUAAAGGGUCUGUAGCCGGCCGGAUAAGUCUCUUGGGAAAUCUGGCAGCUUAACUGCCAGGCUUUCAGGAGAUACUGUCUGGCUCGAGGCCGGGAGAGGUGAGAGGUACUUCAGGGGUAGGGGUGAAAUCUUGUAAUCCUUGAAGGACCACCAGUGGCGAAGGCGUCUCACCAGAACGGACCUGACGGCAAGGGU
rnacentral:rRNA from 1 species